rnacentral:rRNA from 1 species
GAUGAACGCUGGCGGCGUGCCUAAUACAUGCAAGUCGAGCGAACAGAUAAGGAGCUUGCUCCUUUGACGUUAGCGGCGGACGGGUGAGUAACAUGUGGGUAACCUACCUAUAAGACUGGGAUAACUUCGGGAAACCGGAGCCAAUACCGGAUAAUAUUUCGAACCGCAUGGUUCGAUAGUGGAAGAUGGUUUUGCUAUCACUUAUAGAUGGACCCGCGCCGUAUUAGCUAGUUGGUAAGGUAACGGCUUACCAAGGCGACGAUACGUAGCCGACCUGAGAGGGUGAUCGGCCACACUGGAACUGAGACACGGUCCAGACUCCUACGGGAGGCAGCAGUAGGGAAUCUUCCGCAAUGGGCGAAAGCCUGACGGAGCAACGCCGCGUGAGUGAUGAAGGUCUUCGGAUCGUAAAACUCUGUUAUUAGGGAAGAACAUACGUGUAAGUAACUGUGCACGUCUUGACGGUACCUAAUCAGAAAGCCACGACUAACUACGU